AAGCAGGCCUACUUCAUCUGUUUAGUCAGCAACAAUUGCAGGAAUUUUUGUUCUUAGAGAGGGAAUACUCCAUAUGCUGCAUGGAGCAACAAGAAGUUUAUGAGUAGGCCUAUUGUAAAUUUAACCUAAUUGGCUUCAUAACAUGACACCUGACUUGGUUUUUAACUUCGUAAAGCAUGAGGUGAGAAGCCACAGAAAGAGAAAAUCCAGGUUGUUUUGGAA